rnacentral:rRNA from 1 species
AGCGGAGGAAAAGAAACUAACAAGGAUUCCCCUAGUAACGGCGAGUGAAGAGGGAAGAGCCCAAGAUUGAAAGCUGGCGUCUUCGGCGUCCGCAUUGUAAUCUCAAGAAGUGUUUUCCGCUUCGGACCAUGCCUAAGUCCCUUGGAAAAGGGCAUCAUAGAGGGUGAUAAUCCCGUACAUGGCAUGGAGCGCCCGAAGCUUUGUGAUACGCUUUCUAAGAGUCGAGUUGUUUGGGAAUGCAGCUCAAAAUGGGUGGUAAAUGCCAUCUAAGGCUAAAUAUUGGGGAGAGACCGAUAGCGAACAAGUACAGUGAUGGAAAGAUGAAAAGAACUUUGAAAAGAGAGUUAAACAGUACGUGAAAUUGCCAAAAGGGAAGGGUAGGAGGUCAGAGAUGCGUUCUGGGAUUCAGCCUUGCUUUUGCUUGGUGUUUUUCCCAGUUUGCAGGCCAACGUCGGUUUUGGGCGCUGGAGAAGGGUGGAAGGAAUGUGGCACCCCUCGGGGUGUGUUAUAGCCUUCUACUGGAUACAGUGACCGAGACCGAGGACAGCAGCGUACUCGCAAGAGCGGGCCUUCGGGCACCUUUACGCUUAGGGCGUUGGCAUAAUGGCCCUCUACCACCCGUCU